rnacentral:rRNA from 1 species
GAUUAACGCUGGCGGCGUGCAUAACACAUGCAAGUCGAACGAUGAAACUUUACUGACUUCUUCGGAAUGAUUUAAAGCGGAUUAGUGGCGAACGGGUGAGUAACGCGUGAGUAACCUGCCUUACACAAGGGGAUAGCCUCUGGAAACGGAGAAUAAUACCCUAUGAAACCAGACAAUCGCAUGAUAAUCUGGUCAAAAUGUUUAGUGGUGUAAGAUGGACUUGCGUCUGAUUAGCUAGUUGGUGAGAUAAAAGCUCACCAAGGCAACGAUCAGUAGCCGGCUUGAGAGAGUGUACGGCCACAUUGGGACUGAGACACGGCCCAGACUCCUUCGGGAGGCAGCAGUGGGGAAUUUUGCACAAUGGGGGAAACCCUGAUGCAGCGACGCCGCGUGAUUUAGAAGGCCUUCGGGUUGUAAAAAUCUUUUGUAUAGGAAGAAAAUGACAGUACUAUACGAAUAAGGUCCGGCUAAUUACGUG